ACCAGCUAGCACAGUUGGUAGAGCAUGAGACUCUUAAUCUCAGAGUCGUGGGUUUGUACCCCACGCAGCUGGCA
rnacentral:tRNA from 1 species